rnacentral:rRNA from 1 species
AGAGUUUGAUCCUGGCUCAGGAUGAACGCUGGCGGUCUGCUUAACACAUGCAAGUCGAACGGGACUCUUCGGAGUUCAGUGGCGGACGGGUGAGUAACGCGUGAGAAUCUGCCUUCAGGUCGGGGACAACCACUGGAAACGGUGGCUAAUACCGGAUAUGCCGCAACGUGAAAGAUUUAUCGCCUGAAGAGGAGCUCGCGUCUGAUUAGCUAGUUGGUGGGGUAAAAGCUCACCAAGGCGACGAUCAGUAGCUGGUCCGAGAGGAUGAUCAGCCACACUGGGACUGAGACACGGCCCAGACUCCUACGGGAGGCAGCAGUGGGGAAUUUUCCGCAAUGGGCGAAAGCCUGACGGAGCAAGACCGCGUGAGGGAGGAAGGCUCUUGGGUUGUAAACCUCUUUUCUCAGGGAAGAACAAAAUGACGGUACCUGAGGAAUCAGCCUCGGCUAACUCCGUGCCAGCAGCCGCGGUAAUAC